AGAGUUUGAUCCUGGCUCAGAACGAACGCUGGCGGCGUGCCUAAUACAUGCAAGUCGAACGAGAAAGUGGGCAACCAUGAGUAAAGUGGCAGACGGGUGAGUAAUACAUAGGUAACCUACCUCCAAGAUGGGGAUAACCUUCCGAAAGGAGGGCUAAUACCGAAUGAGACCACAGUUACUUCGGUAACAGGGGUCAAAGG
rnacentral:rRNA from 1 species